rnacentral:rRNA from 1 species
AUUGAACGCUGCGGCAGGCUUAACACAUGCAAGUCGAGCGAGCGGCGGAGGGGUGCGGAAUGCUUAGGAAUCUGCCUAUUAGUGGGGGACAACAUCUCGUACGGGAUGCUAAUACCGCAUACUCAUAGAUGAGCCUAAGUCGGAUUAGCUAGUUGGUGGGGUAAAGGCCUACCAAGGCGAAGAUCUGUAGCGGGGCUGGGAGGAUGAUCCGCCCCAAUGGGACUGAGACACGGGCCAGACUCCUACGGGGGGGAGCAGUGGGGAAUAUUGGACAAUGGGGGGAACCCUGAACCCGCCAUGCCGCGUGUGUGAAGAAAGCCUUAUGGUUGUAAAGCACUUUAAGCGAGGAGGCGUUACUCGCAGAAUAAGCACCGGCUAACUCUGUGCCAGCAGCCGCGGUAAUUC